AAGUCGUAACAAGGUUUCCGUAGGUGAACCUGCGGAAGGAUCAUUAUUGAAUAACAUUGGUUAGGUUGCUGCUGGCUUUUUAUGAUUAAUCAUUAUCAUUGAGAGCAUGUGCACACCUGAUCUAUAUUUUCAACCCCCUUGUGCAUCUGUGUAGACCUUGAACACUUUAUUCCAGCAAUGUGAAUUGCUUGGGUUAGAGAACUGCUGAGAAGAAUCAUCCAGCUUGUCUUGCAUUUUCAGGUCUAUGUGGCUUUGCCAUUUUAUAUACACCACAGUAAAAAAAAAAAAAAGUAGUCAGUUGGGCCUCAGUGCUCUUGAAAACAAUAUACAACUUUCAACAACGGAUCUCUUGGCUCUC
rnacentral:misc_RNA from 1 species